GAUGAACGCUGGCGGCGUGCCUAAUACAUGCAAGUCGAGCGAACAGAUGAGGAGCUUGCUCCUCUGACGUUAGCGGCGGACGGGUGAGUAACACGUGGAUAACCUACCUAUAAGACUGGGAUAACUUCGGGAAACCGGAGCUAAUACCGGAUAAUAUAUUGAACCGCAUGGUUCAAUAGUGAAAGACGGUUUUGCUGUCACUUAUAGAUGGAUCCGCGCCGUAUUAGCUAGUUGGUAAGGUAACGGCUUACCAAGGCAACGAUGCGUAGCCGACCUGAGAGGGUGAUCGGCCACACUGGAACUGAGACACGGUCCAGACUCCUACGGGAGGCAGCAGUAGGGAAUCUUCCGCAAUAGGCGAAAGCCUGACGGAGCAACGCCGCGUGAGUGAUGAAGGUCUUCGGAUCGUAAAACUCUGUUAUUAGGGAAGAACAAAUGUGUAAGUAACUAUGCACGUCUUGACGGUACCUAAUCAGAAAGCCACGGCUAACUACGUG
rnacentral:rRNA from 1 species